UGCCAGACUCCUACGGGAGGCAGCAGUGAGGAAUAUUGGUCAAUGGGCUUACGCCUGAACCAGCCAAGUCGCGUGAAGGAUGACUGCCCUAUGGGUUGUAAACUUCUUUUAUAAAGGAAUAAAACGAGGCACGUGUGCCUUUUUGCAUGUACUUUAUGAAUAAGCAUCGGCUAACUCCGUGCCAGCAGCCGCGGUAAUACGGAGGAUGCGAGCGUUAUCCGGAUUUAUUGGGUUUAAAGGGUGCGUAGGUGGUUAAUUAAGUCAGCGGUGAAGGUUUGUGGCUCAACCAUAAAAUUGCCGCUGAAACUGGUUGACUUGAGUAUAUUUGAGGUAGGCGGAAUGCGUGGUGUAGCGGUGAAAUGCAUAGAUAUCACGCAGAACUCCGAUUGCGAAGGCAGCUUACUAAACUAUAACUGACACUGAAGCACGAAAGCGUGGGGAUCAAACAGGAUUAGAUACCCGCGUA
rnacentral:rRNA from 1 species